rnacentral:rRNA from 1 species
CCAGACUCCUACGGGAGGCAGCAGUGGGGAAUAUUGCACAAUGGGGGAAACCCUGAUGCAGCGACGCCGCGUGAGUGAAGAAGUAUAUCGGUAUGUAAAGCUCUAUCAGCAGGGAAGAUAAUGACGGUACCUGACUAAGAAGCCCCGGCUAACUACGUGCCAGCAGCCGCGGUAAUACGUAGGGGGCAAGCGUUAUCCGGAUUUACUGGGUGUAAAGGGUGCGUAGGUGGCAUGGCAAGUCAGAAGUGAAAGCCCGGGACUCAACCCCGCGGACUGCUUUUGAAACUGUCAGGCUGGAGUACAGGAGAGGUAAGCGGAAUUCCUAGUGUAGCGGUGAAAUGCGUAGAUAUUAGGAGGAACACCAGUGGCGAAGGCGGCUUACUGGACUGUAACUGACACUGAGGCACGAAAGCGUGGGGAGCAAACAGGAUUAGAUACCCGUGUAC